UCAUCUCCGGGGGUAGAGCACUGUUUCGGCAAGGGGGUCAUCCCGACUUACCAACCCGAUGCAAACUGCGAAUACCGGAGAAUGUUAUCACGGGAGACACACGGCGGGUGCUAACGUCCGUCGUGAAGAGGGAAACAACCCAGACCGCCAGCUAAGGUCCCAAAGUCAUGGUUAAGUGGGAAACGAUGUGGGAAGGCCCAGACAGCCAGGAUGUUGGCUUAGAAGCAGCCAUCAUUUAAAGAAAGCGUAAUAGCUCACUGGUCGAGUCGGCCUGCGCGGAAGAUGUAACGGGGCUAAACCAUGCACCGAAGCUGCGGCAGCGACGCUUAUGCGUUGUUGGGUAGGGGAGCGUUCUGUAAGCCUGUGAAGGUGUGCUGUGAGGCAUGCUGGAGGUAUCAGAAGUGCGAAUGCUGACAUAAGUAACGAUAAAGCGGGUGAAAAGCCCGCUCGCCGGAAGACCAAGGGUUCCUGUCCAACGUUAAUCGGGGCAGGGUGAGUCGACCCCUAAGGCGAGGCCGAAAGGCGUAGUCGAUGGGAAACAGGUUAAUAUUCCUGUACUUGGUGUUACUGCGAAGGGGGGACGGAGAAGGCUAUGUUGGCCGGGCGACGGUUGUCCCGGUUUAAGCGUGUAGGCUGGUUUUCCAGGCAAAUCCGGAAAAUCAAGGCUGAGGCGUGAUGACGAGGCACUACGGUGCUGAAGCAACAAAUGCCCUGCUUCCAGGAAAAGCCUCUAAGCAUCAGGUAACAUCAAAUCGUACCCCAAACCGACACAGGUGGUCAGGUAGAGAAUACCAAGGCGCUUGAGAGAACUCGGGUGAAGGAACUAGGCAAAAUGGUGCCGUAACUUCGGGAGAAGGCACGCUGAUAUGUAGGUGAAGUCCCUCGCGGAUGGAGCUGAAAUCAGUCGAAGAUACCAGCUGGCUGCAACUGUUUAUUAAAAACACAGCACUGUGCAAACACGAAAGUGGACGUAUACGGUGUGACGCCUGCCCGGUGCCGGAAGGUUAAUUGAUGGGGUCAGCGCAAGCGAAGCUCUUGAUCGAAGCCCCGGUAAACGGCGGCCGUAACUAUAACGGUCCUAAGGUAGCGAAAUUCCUUGUCGGGUAAGUUCCGACCUGCACGAAUGGCGUAAUGAUGGCCAGGCUGUCUCCACCCGAGACUCAGUGAAAUUGAACUCGCUGUGAAGAUGCAGUGUACCCGCGGCAAGACGGAAAGACCCCGUGAACCUUUACUAUAGCUUGACACUGAACAUUGAGCCUUGAUGUGUAGGAUAGGUGGGAGGCUUAGAAGUGUGGACGCCAGUCUGCAUGGAGCCGACCUUGAAAUACCACCCUUUAAUGUUUGAUGUUCUAACGUUGACCCGUAAUCCGGGUUGCGGACAGUGUCUGGUGGGUAGUUUGACUGGGGCGGUCUCCUCCUAAAGAGUAACGGAGGAGCACGAAGGUUGGCUAAUCCUGGUCGGACAUCAGGAGGUUAGUGCAAUGGCAUAAGCCAGCUUGACUGCGAGCGUGACGGCGCGAGCAGGUGCGAAAGCAGGUCAUAGUGAUCCGGUGGUUCUGAAUGGAAGGGCCAUCGCUCAACGGAUAAAAGGUACUCCGGGGAUAACAGGCUGAUACCGCCCAAGAGUUCAUAUCGACGGCGGUGUUUGGCACCUCGAUGUCGGCUCAUCACAUCCUGGGGCUGAAGUAGGUCCCAAGGGUAUGGCUGUUCGCCAUUUAAAGUGGUACGCGAGCUGGGUUUAGAACGUCGUGAGACAGUUCGGUCCCUAUCUGCCGUGGGCGCUGGAGAACUGAGGGGGGCUGCUCCUAGUACGAGAGGACCGGAGUGGACGCAUCACUGGUGUUCGGGUUGUCAUGCCAAUGGCACUGCCCGGUAGCUAAAUGCGGAAGAGAUAAGUGCUGAAAGCAUCUAAGCACGAAACUUGCCCCGAGAUGAGUUCUCCCUGACUCCUUGAGAGUCCUGAAGGAACGUUGAAGACGACGACGUUGAUAGGCCGGGUGUGUAAGCGCAGCGAUGCGUUGAGCUAACCGGUACUAAUGAACCGUGAGGCUUAACCUU
rnacentral:rRNA from 1 species